UGAGACAGUGUCACAGAGAGUCAUGGUAAUAACUUCAGCCCAAAGAGAAAAAUAAUACUACUGUUUCUAGGCCUAAUCCUGCAGUCUCUCUUCAAAACUCUUACUGAAGUCGAUGGGAAUCAACCAGAGUCAGUCUUGCAGAUCUAGACGACUGUUGACUUGUUGAUACAAAUGAUACAUGGCUACCGGAAAUUACACCUGCUGUGGGAAGUAUUUAGUA